rnacentral:rRNA from 1 species
CCUACCGGGUGGCAGCAGUGGGGAAUAUUGGACAAUGGGCGAAAGCCUGAUCCAGCCAUGCCGCGUGUGUGAAGAAGGCCUUCGGGUUGUAAAGCACUUUCAGUGGGGAAGAAAGCCUUGGGGCUAAUACCCUCGAGGAAGGACAUCACCCACAGAAGAAGCACCGGCUAACUCCGUGCCAGCAGCCGCGGUAAUACGGAGGGUGCGAGCGUUAAUCGGAAUUACUGGGCGUAAAGCGCGCGUAGGCGGUCUGAUAAGCCGGUUGUGAAAGCCCCGGGCUCAACCUGGGAACGGCAUCCGGAACUGUCAGGCUAGAGUGCAGGAGAGGAAGGUAGAAUUCCCGGUGUAGCGGUGAAAUGCGUAGAGAUCGGGAGGAAUACCAGUGGCGAAGGCGGCCUUCUGGACUGACACUGACGCUGAGGUGCGAAAGCGUGGGUAGCAAACAGGAUUAGAUACCCUUGUAGUC